rnacentral:rRNA from 1 species
AUUGAACGCUGGCGGCAGGCCUAACACAUGCAAGUCGAACGAGUGGCGGACGGGUGAGUAAUGUCUGGGAAACUGACUGAUGGAGGGGGAUAACUACUGGAAACGGUAGCUAAUACCUCCUACCAUCGGAUGUGCCCAGCUGGGAUUAGCUAGUAGGUGGGGUAAAGGCUAACCUAGGCGACGAUCCCUAGCUGGUCUGAGAGGAUGACCAGCCACACUGGAACUGAGACACGGGCCAUACUCCUACGGGAGGCAGCAGUGGGGAAUAUUGCACAAUGGGCGCAAGCCUGAUGCAGCCAUGCCGCGUGUAUGAAGAAGGCCUUCGGGUUGUAAAGUACUUUCAGCGGGGAGGCGUUACCCGCAGAAGAAGCACCGGCUAACUCCGUGCCAGCCGCCGCGGUAAUUC